GAUGAACGCUGGCGGCGUGCCUAAUACAUGCAAGUCGAGCGAACAGACGAGGAGCUUGCUCCUCUGACGUUAGCGGCGGACGGGUGAGUAACACGUGGAUAACCUACCUAUAAGACUGGGAUAACUUCGGGAAACCGGAGCUAAUACCGGAUAAUAUAUUGAACCGCAUGGUUCAAUAGUGAAAGACGGUUUUGCUGUCACUUAUAGAUGGAUCCGCGCCGCAUUAGCUAGUUGGUAAGGUAACGGCUUACCAAGGCAACGAUGCGUAGCCGACCUGAGAGGAUGAUCAGCCACACUGGAACUGAGACACGGUCCAGACUCCUACGGGAGGCAGCAGUAGGGAAUCUUCGACAAUGGGCGAAAGCCUGACCGAGCAACACCGCGUGAGUGAUGAAGGUCUUCGGAUCGUAAAGCUCUGUUAUUAGGAAAGAACAAAUGUGUAAGUAACUAUGCACGUCUUGACGGUACCUAAUCAGAAAGCCACGGCUAACUACGUG
rnacentral:rRNA from 1 species